rnacentral:rRNA from 1 species
GAUGAACGCUGGCGGCGUGCCUAAUACAUGCAAGUCGAGCGAACGGACGAGAAGCUUGCUUCUCUGAUGUUAGCGGCGGACGGGUGAGUAACACGUGGAUAACCUACCUAUAAGACUGGGAUAACUUCGGGAAACCGGAGCUAAUACCGGAUAAUAUUUUGAACCGCAUGGUUCAAAAGUGAAAGACGGUCUUGCUGUCACUUAUAGAUGGAUCCGCGCUGCAUUAGCUAGUUGGUAAGGUAACGGCUUACCAAGGCAACGAUGCAUAGCCGACCUGAGAGGGUGAUCGGCCACACUGGAACUGAGACACGGUCCAGACUCAUACGGGAGGCAGCAGUAGGGAAUCUUCCGCAAUGGGCGAAAGCCUGACGGAGCAACGCCGCGUGAGUGAUGAAGGUCUUCGGAUCGUAAAACUCUGUUAUUAGGGAAGAACAUAUGUGUAAGUAACUGUGCACAUCUUGACGGUACCUAAUCAGAAAGCCACGGCUAACUACG